rnacentral:siRNA from 1 species
CAUGAGUCCGUGUGCCGUUCCG